rnacentral:tRNA from 1 species
ACCCGUGUGGCUCAGUUGGUAGAGUAUGGUGUUUGCAAUGCCAGGGUUGUGGGUUCAAUUCCCAUGGGUG